CUCUAGAACCAAACACUCUAACUUCUCUCUAAAAAAAAACCUUUCUCUCCCUCAUUACCCUCCGACGACUAGUAGGGCUUUUUGCCUUUGCCGACGAUGCGACCCAAUUGACCAAAUUUCUCCCUUUCUUUUCUCCGACGUCGGCCUAAUCUCCUUCUCUCUCUCUUGCUUCAACGCCGACGUUCUUCCCUUUCUCUCUCACCGUCGUUCCAGUUUCUCUCUUCUCAUCCCUGCGUCGGUAGCUCCUUCUCUUCCCUGCGACGGCAGCUCCUGCUCUCCCUAUCUACCGUCGCAGCAAAACCCAAAGCUUAAACACCUCUCUUUCACUGGCGGCACAAAACCCACAAACUCUAACACCCCCCUCCGGCAGCACACACAACAAAAAAAAAAAGCUUGUCUAUUCUCCCAUUACACCAAAAUCCCCAAAAAUCAAAAUUUACCCCUACCAAAAAAACAAACUAAAAAUUCCCCGAAAAACACAACUUCUCUCUUUCGCUCAUUGUGUAUUUUUUGGGUAUUUUUUUUGAUUUGUUUGUGGAUUGUUGUGGCUGCUAGGAAGCUUAGGACUUUUUUGGGUUUCUUGGUUACCUUUUUUUUUAUUGCUUUUCUUUUGAUUUUUUGGCUUCCUUUGAUUUUCUUCCCCCUGGCUUUGCUACAAUGCCCCCUCCCUUUUAUACUCGGUUCUUAGCCUUUGGAGGGGGCACGCUCCCACGACUCUGCCAGACGCGAAUUUUUCGCGUCUGGCAGGGUGAGGGUGGUGCCUAGCAAGAUAUUGCUAGUUGAUAGACGCUAUGAGGAGUUGAAAACAGACUACAAAGACAACCAGAGCAAGCCAUCUUUGCCAAUUUCAGUGGAGAUAUUGAAGCAUGCAACAGAUGUGUAUACUUUAGCAGUUUUUAAAAUGUUCUCUAAUGAACUUUGGCUUACUUGGGAUUUUGAAUUGUACACAAUUAAAAUCAUUAGUAGUACUACUAGUUACAAAGCCAUUGAUCCAAGAAAACCUCGUCAUCAUACAGUUGUAUUUGAUUCAUCAAAUUCGACAGUCAGCUGUAGUUGUAAGAAAUUUGAAUUUGUUGGUAUUUUAUGUGCUCAAGUUUUGAAGGUGCUUUCCUUGCAGAAUUUUAAAUGAGUUCCAGAUCAAUAUAUAUUAAAAAUAUGGACCAAGGAAGCGAAGAUUGGAGUUGUGAUAAAUUCUACUACAUCCACUAGAUCAAAUGAUCCUAAAGUAGAUGUAAGUACUCGUUACAAAGUUUUGCUUCGAUGGAAUUCUAAUUUAGCAACAAAAGCUGCAAUGGGUGAGCAAUCAUUUAAUAUGGCUAUGAGUGAUGGAGAAAAGACAUUGAGCAAAGUUGAGACAGCUUUGAAGUAGUUAUCAAUUGAAGAGUCUCGAAGCUCCGAAAAUGGAAAACAUGUUUGUCAAUUUGACGAAAGUGGGCAUAAUGAGAAAGAAAGUCAAAAAAUCAAGGGAAUCAAAUGUAAACCUAAAAAUAAAGAUACAUCAUCUCGACGACCAAAAAAUGCUUUGGAAAAAGCUAAAAGAAAGAAAAGACGUCAAAUUGAUAAAUUAGUAGAGACUCCACUAGUUCAAGAGUUCAAAGGAUUCAAGUCAAAUUGCUCACACUUUGUACCAUAGUGCUACAAGUGGAUUCAAUCAAUGUACUCAACCAUUUCAAUUUGUCCAGCAAACUCAUGUUGAUAUCCAUCAAUCUACUAUCACAAGCAUGGUGGAUUUACUAUAAGCUCAAAUACCACAAGUUCCUAUUUCACAAAGAAAAACUUCAGAAGGAGACGAGAAAGAUAGAUGAAAGAUAUGACUUCACCAACAUAUUUUAAAUAUUAUUGUAAUUUACUUACGCAAGAUAAAAGUGAUUUAUUUUGCUUUUAAGAUAAAACUUCGGUUUUCAUAUUUGUUAAGUUCUAUGUAGUUUGAA
rnacentral:sRNA from 1 species